AUUGAACGCUGGCGGCAGGCCUAACACAUGCAAGUCGAGCGGAGUGGCGGACGGGCGAGUAAUGCCUACGUAUCUGCCCGGUAGCGGGGGAUAACGUCCGGAACCGGGCGCUAAUCCCGUACCCUAUCAGCUGAGCCUAGGUGGGAUUAGCUAGUUGGUGGGGUAAAGGCCUACCAAGGCGACGAUCCGUAACUGGCCUGAGAGGAUGAUCAGUCACACUGGAACUGAGACACGGUCCAGACUCCUACGGGAGGCAGCAGUGGGGAAUAUUGGACAAUGGGCGAAAGCCUGAUCCAGCCAUGCCGCGUGUGUGAAGAAGGUCUUCGGAUUGUAAAGCACUUUAAGUUGGGAGGCGGUACCAACAGAAUAAGCACCGGCUAACUACGUGCCAGCAGCCGCGGUAAUUC
rnacentral:rRNA from 1 species